GAUUGGUUAUAGCUCUAGCCUAUAGCAGACGUUUGGAAUGCCAGGUCAAACCGUCAAGCUUACAGUGCAUGAUAAUAAUUUGGCUACGCUAUUCAGUUUUGUUGUUAUAUUUACCUGACUUUGUCUGUAAUGUUCAGGGCUUAAACUGAACCGGACACUAAUAUUGUUGAUCACGGAACAAUUUCUUUGAGCCAACAAGUAUUUCAUGUGUGAAUGCUUCACGCCUUUGUUUAAUUCAGAUUCCUUUGUUGGUAGUGUUGUCUACCAUAACUACAAUUUGGUUUAUCUAAAUGGUCAAUUCCUGAUUGUUUUAGUAUCAAUUGGCUCCAAACCAUUUAGCAUUAUUUGGCAGCCAGGAAGUAGAUUCUCACAACCCUGAUGGACACGGCCACUAAGCAUCAUAGCCACCAUGAAGAAGCAGUUGGGGACAAAACUGGAAGGAGAUGCUAAGUAGACUAGGAUGUUUGAACUUUAAUGACAGGAUCUCUAUAGGUAACUUGCUUGCAUAUGUGGAAGCCUCUGUGUUAACAAUUUGUUCGGCAAUAUGCCAAUGUAUGCGAUGUGCUCAUCUUUAGUUGGCAAACACGGACAUUUGCUUUGAAAAAAUAGUGCAAUUAGUUUAUUAGGAUUGACAACACUGUGGCUAGAUAGUCCAACUGGAACAUGUAGUAGCACUUGACAUGCAUAAUAAAAUACAAAUGCAUAAACUGUUGUGCAACUGACUAGCUUAUAUGGUCUGGGAGUCUAAAUUUACUCCAGAUCAAUGCACAUGCUUUUAUUCAGGGCAUGUGUUCAAAAUGUAAAACCAGUGAGGCCUUAAAUUGUACAUGUAUUAUACAUAUUGUUAUAAGACAUUAGUAAUCUAGAGUAGGAUGUUAACCUUGUUGUUCCCAUCUGUAACAUAUAUAAAGUUGACCAUAGUUCAAAAAAACCUUAUGGCUUACGUUUGGUCAAGUUCUACUAAUCCAAGUUCGAUAUGUACAUUGUUUUGUAUUUUCUACAGUUUUAUGGUGUAUGUUUGGUGAAGAGGAGAUCCAGGAAGGCUUGGAUCUGGAGGCUGAAUUUUUGCUAUGAUUAUACAAGAAAGGUACUCAGGACUAAACCCGCAGGGUACCUGACAACUAAUUGAUUUGUUCAUGGUGCACUAUGCAUAGGAAGCUCAUAUUUAUCUUAUACAAUACUAUAUAGUUUUAAGCUAUUCGAAAAUGUGCUUCUUUGUUUCUCUGCACUAUUCAGUUAGCCCCUAUAUGUUAAAACUGAAUUUGUUCCUCUUUAUUAUUCAGUUAGCAUUGCUCUGGCAUUAUGUGAAAUCCAGUGACUUUGUCUAUUAAUUUUUUCCUCUUCCAGAAUAUUUCUAUGGUAUUGGAAAACUUUGGUAAUAACAUCAUAUUUUUCAAAGGACUUCUUGAUCCGCUGAGUGCUUGAGGUGUUCUGAUAUAAGUGUCAUUGCUACUGAGUUCCGACAUUUGAAGAUGCCAAGAAGGAUAAAUUAACGAUUUUGAAGCUAUGGUACUUAUUGUGAAUGGUGGAAACGACACUGAUUGAUGACAUCAUUGGGGAUCCCAUGGCAUUGGACAGGGCUAAACAAGCAGUGGCAGCAACAAUGGAAAAGGUUGGAGGCGGCGUUCAUGGAGGAAAAAGGCAGCGGCCAACGCAUCAAGGAGUGGCAAUCAUAAAGUCAAGAUUCUAUUGAUCAUUGUCAUUUGCAAGUUAUUUUAGAACAUGGUAAUAGAAUGUAGAGCGUGUGGAACCUCUUUCUCUGGUAUACUAGCUUUGUGUAUAACAAGAAUAGAGUAGGAUGGAUAUAUAUGUGUGCAUUUAAAUUUUUGUGAUGUUUGGAGGAUGAAUAUAUGUAUGUGUACAUUUAAACUUUUUUGACAUUUGAACCUUGCAUACGACAACAUCCAAGUUUGUAUUAUUUUA